rnacentral:rRNA from 1 species
UCGCUUGUUGGUGAGGUAAUGGCUCACCAAGGCGACGACGGGUAGCCGGCCUGAGAGGGCGACCGGCCACACUGGGACUGAGACACGGCCCAGACUCCUACGGGAGGCAGCAGUGGGGAAUAUUGCACAAUGGGCGAAAGCCUGAUGCAGCGACGCCGCGUGAGGGAUGACGGCCUUCGGGUUGUAAACCUCUUUCAGCAGGGAAGAAGCGAAAGUGACGGUACCUGCAGAAGAAGCGCCGGCUAACUACGUGCCAGCAGCCGCGGUAAUACGUAGGGCGCGAGCGUUGUCCGGAAUUAUUGGGCGUAAAGAGCUCGUAGGCGGCUUGUCACGUCGGUUGUGAAAGCCCGGGGCUUAACCCCGGGUCUGCAGUCGAUACGGGCAGGCUAGAGUUCGGUAGGGGAGAUCGGAAUUCCUGGUGUAGCGGUGAAAUGCGCAGAUAUCAGGAGGAACACCGGUGGCGAAAGCGGAUCUCUGGGCCGAUACUGACGCUGAAGAGCGAAAGCGUGGGGAGCGAACAGGAUUAGAUACCCUGGUUAUCCCCGCCGGUAACCGGUGGGCACUAGGUGGGGGCGA